rnacentral:rRNA from 1 species
UACGUAGGGUGCGAGCGUUAAUCGGAAUUACUGGGCGUAAAGCGUGCGCAGGCGGUUUUGUAAGCCAGGGGUGAAAUCCCCGGGCUCAACCUGGGAAUGGCAUUUGGGACUGCAAGGCUGGAGUGUGGCAGAGGAGACUGGAAUUCCUGGUGUAGCAGUGAAAUGCGUAGAUAUCAGGAGGAAUACCGAUGGCGAAGGCAGGUCUCUGGGCUGACACUGACGCUCAUGCACGAAAGCGUGGGGAGCAAACAGG